GAUGAACGCUGGCGGCGUGCCUAAUACGUGCAAGUCGAGCGCGAGAGUGAGGAGCUUGCUCCUCAUGAUCGAGCGGCGGACGGGUGAGUAACACGUAGGCAACCUACCCUUGAGAUUGGGAUAACUACCGGAAACGGUAGCUAAUACCGGAUACGACUUUUCCACAUAAGUGGAAUGGUUAAAAGGCGGAUUUAUCUGCCUCUCAUGGAUGGGCCUGCGGUGCAUUAGCUAGUUGGUGAGAUAGUGGCUCACCAAGGCGACGAUGCAUAGCCGACCUGAGAGGGUGAUCGGCCACACUGGGACUGAGACACGGCCCAGACUCCUACGGGAGGCAGCAGUAGGGAAUCUUCCGCAAUGGACGCAAGUCUGACGGAGCAACGCCGCGUGAGUGAUGAAGGGUUUCGGCUCGUAAAACUCUGUUGUUAAGGAAGAACACUUGAGGUAGUAACUGGCCUUGAGAUGACGGUACUUAACCAGAAAGCCAUGGCUAACUACGUGCCAGCCGCCGCAGUAA
rnacentral:rRNA from 1 species